UACGGGGGGGGCAAGCGUUGUUCGGAAUUACUGGGCGUAAAGGGCUUGUAGGUGGCCAACUAAGUCAGACGUGAAAUCCCUCGGCUUAACCGGGGAACUGCGUCUGAUACUGGAUGGCUGGAGUGUGGGAGAGGGAUGCGGAAUUCCAGGUGUAGCGGUGAAAUGCGUAGAUAUCUGGAGGAACACCGGUGGCGAAGGCGGCAUCCUGGACCGGUAUUGACGCUGAGGCGCGAAAGCUAGGGGAGCAAACGGG
rnacentral:rRNA from 1 species